rnacentral:rRNA from 1 species
GACGAACGCUGGCGGCGUGCUUAACACAUGCAAGUCGAACGGAAAGGCCCUGCUUUUGUGGGGUGCUCGAGUGGCGAACGGGUGAGUAACACGUGAGUAACCUGCCCUUGACUUUGGGAUAACUUCAGGAAACUGGGGCUAAUACCGGAUAGGAGCUCCUGCUGCAUGGUGGGGGUUGGAAAGUUUCGGCGGUUGGGGAUGGACUCGCGGCUUAUCAGCUUGUUGGUGGGGUAGUGGCUUACCAAGGCUUUGACGGGUAGCCGGCCUGAGAGGGUGACCGGCCACAUUGGGACUGAGAUGCGACCCAGACUCCUACGGUAGGCAGCAGUGGGGAAUAUUGCACAAUGGGCGGAAGCCUGAUGCAGCAACGCCGCGUGCGGGAUGACGGCCUUCGGGUUGUAAACCGCUUUCGCCUGUGACGAAGCGUGAGUGACGGUAAUGGGUAAAGAAGCACCGGCUAACUACGUG